rnacentral:rRNA from 1 species
GAUGAACGCUGGCGGCGUGCUUAACACAUGCAAGUCGAACGGGAUCCAAGGGGUGCUUGCACUUUUUGGUGAGAGUGGCGCACGGGUGAGUAACACGUGAGUAACCUGUCCUUUUCUUUGGGAUAAGCAUUCGAAAGGGUGUUUAAUACCUUAUGUUCUGUCUGCCUCGCAUGGGGUGGGUGGGAAAGGCUUUGGCCGGAUUUGGGUGGGCUCGCGGUCUCUCAGCUGGUUGGGUGGGUGAUGGGUUACCGAGGCUUUGACGGGUAGCCGGCGUGAGCGGGUGGUCGGUCGCAGUGGGACUGAGACACGGGCCAGACGCCUGCGGGAGGCAGCAGUGGGGGAAAUUGCGCAAUGGGCGAAAGCCUGAUGCAGCGACGCCGCGGGAGCGAUGAAGGCCGUCGGGUUGUAAACUUCGUUUGCUCUGAACAAGGCAUGCCAGUGGGUGUGUUGAGGGUAGGGGUGGAUUAGCGCCGGCUAACUACGUG